rnacentral:rRNA from 1 species
ACGUGAUCUGAGUUCAGACCGGAGCAAUCCAGGUCAGUUUCUAUCUAUAAAGGACUUUUUCUAGUACGAAAGGACCGAAAAAGUAUGGUCCAUAUCUUAUACAAACCAUAUAAUUAAUUUAUGAUUAAGACUCAAUAAACAAGUAACCUAAAAUUUUACUCUAAACAAGAGCU